UUGGAACACUGUUUCCAUUUACUAAAAGUAUGUGAAUAUUGAGGACAUGUUGAACAUGUCGAAUAAAUGUGAAAAGUAUUAAAAUACAACUAUGUAUGAAUUUGUAUGACAUAUUGUAUGUGCAUUGGGAUGAGAUUUUAUAGUUGAUGGAGGAGUUCCAUAGAGUACCAGCGACAUAUUAAGUCCGCAUAUUUACAUAGUAAGUGCACUAAAUUUAGAGUAUUGAGGGGAUUGGCGAUUAUAUCGCAUUAUUUGUUAUUUGGUAGUUUCACUACAUUAUUGAUUGUAAUAGCCUAUCUCGCCCGGGCCCAUAAAGCUAUCCAAAAAAAUAAAUAAAAUAAAUCAAAGCAACAUUAAUAAAUUAAAAGUCCAAGUCUUUUUACAAAAAUAAAGGCUAACUAUUAAGCCCAAAUUGCCUAGCCCGGUUGUUAAGAGUAACCCAAUUAACAAAACAAAUUCUAGCCCAUUUGAAACACGGCCCAAUCACAAGACUGGCCCAAAUGUCUGAAGUCUGGUUUCAGAGGCCGAAAACCUAGUCAUUCGCCUUGCACCGCAGCUAGCAGUCGGUCUCCAGCACCACAUGUGUGCCACUAGUUCCUCGCGCGCGCCUUCGCUCGUGUCUUUGUACGACUACUCCUGCAAUGGAACACAUGAGAAGAAGGAGCUAACCGAAUUUACAGCAAAUGGCAGCAAGAAAAUGUAAUUUUAUUUUUUAUUUACUCUGUAAAUCCGACUACAAAAAGCCGUCGAAUGUACCUGCAAAUACUUACGCGCAGUAAAUAUCAGAAAAAGCAUUUCGAAAGGAAAUUUUUAAAGGUGAUUUUCUGCUUUCUAGUUUCUUUAGUUCUUCGUCGAAUCAUCUCAUUUUCUUUUUCGAUUUUUCACUAUUGUAUUUAAAAAAUAAAAGAGAAAGAGAAAGGCGAGGUCUUCCCUUGCGAAUCUGCCAUAGAUUCCUCUUGGCUUUGUUGAAAUUGAAGUUGAAAGAGGAAUCACAAGGCAUCAAAUCAUCUUUUCAAGAGUACGCCGUUCGCUGAUUGUAGUGGCCGAUCGGUGUUGGAGCGAAGGGGAAGUUAGGGUUCGGCUGCAAAGUGAAAGGGAAAGGGAUUUGGUUUUCUUAUUUUUGUUUCUAAAUGGUUGAGUGUGUUAAUUUUAGGUUUUUUAGUGUUAAUUAGGUGUAUAAAACGACACCGUUUAGGGCCUAUGCCAAUGGCCCCAAAAUGAAGCCGGUUUAAGCCGACCCGCAUCGAUCCGACCCGAUCGCCCCUAGGAUCCGUGCGUUUCUGCGAAGAGGAGAUAAUUGCACAUAGGUCCUCCCCUUUCGCACAAGUCUGUAAUUGCGCCAUAUGCAUUUUGUUUCGUUUUUUUAAAUUUGGUUUUGUAAUUUGUGCUUAUUUGCGAUUGGGUCCACGCCUCAACAAAGUGUUUUGGGUUCUGGAGUAAAUCCAGCUUUAGUCUCUGUGCAUUUGCGUACAUUGCGC
rnacentral:lncRNA from 1 species